rnacentral:lncRNA from 10 species
AAACACAUGGCGUUUACGACUGUCUGGGAAGCCUGACGCCGUGACCUCCCGACGCCGCGAGACUCAAGGAAUGAACAUAAUAAUUUCCUACUAUUCUGCCACCGCGAUGCCGAAGGCGCCCAAGCAGCAGCUGCCGGAGCCCGAGUGGAUCGGGGACGGAGAGAACACGAGCCCAUCAGCCUGGAAGAACCUUAAGCUUUGUCAUUCCCCAUCACUAGUGUGUAUGAACUAAAGAAUAAGCUGACUCCACCAGGUGAGAACAGCUUCAUCUGCAACUCCAGAGAUGACUAGAACACAGGGAUUAAAUAAAAUGCUGGUUUCCACUGCAUUUAUUACUAAUAUAAA